CUCCUACGGGGGGCAGCAGUGGGGAAUAUUGCACAAUGGGGGAAACCCUGAUGCAGCGACGCCGCGUGAGUGAAGAAGUAUUUCGGUACGUAAAGCUCUAUCAGCAGGGAAGAAAAUGACGGUACCUGACUAAGAAGCCCCGGCUAACUACGUGCCAGCAGCCGCGGUAAUACGUAGGGAGCAAGCGUUAUCCGGAUUUACUGGGUGUAAAGGGCGUGUAGGCGGGCAUGCAAGCCAGAAGUGAAAUCUGGGGGCUUAACCCCCAAACUGCUUUUGGAACUGCGUGUCUUGAGUGAUGGAGAGGC
rnacentral:rRNA from 1 species